rnacentral:rRNA from 1 species
UACGUAGGGGGCGAGCGUUGUCCGGAAUUAUUGGGCGUAAAGAGCUCGUAGGCGGUUUGUUGCGUCGGCCGUGAAAACCUGCAGCUUAACUGUGGGCCUGCGGCCGAUACGGGCAGACUUGAGUUCGGUAGGGGAGACUGGAAUUCCUGGUGUAGCGGUGAAAUGCGCAGAUAUCAGGAGGAACACCGGUGGCGAAGGCGGGUCUCUGGGCCAUUACUGACGCUGAGGAGCGAAAGCGUGGGGAGCGAACAGG